GAGGCCUAAUACAUGCAAGUCGAACGGUAACAGGGGUAGCAAUACCCGCUGACGAGUGGCGCACGGGUGCGUAACGCGUACACAAUCUGCCUUAUACUGGAGCAUACCCCCAAGAAAUUGGGACUAACUCUCCAUAACAUAUUUAGUAGGCAUCUACAGAAUAUUAAAACUCCGGUGGUAUAAGAUGAGUGUGCGUCCGAUUAGGUAGUUGGUGAGGUAAAGGCUCACCAAGCCAACGAUCGGUAGCUGGUCUGAGAGGACGAUCAGCCACACGGGCACUGAGACACGGGCCCGACUCCUACGGGAGGCAGCAGUAGGGAAUAUUGGACAAUGGGCGCAAGCCUGAUCCAGCCAUCCCGCGUGAAGGAUUAAGGCCCUAUGGGUUGUAAACUUCUUUUCUCUGGGAAUAAAAAGUGGAGUUCACUCCGCCUUGAAGGUACCAGAGGAAUAAGCACCGGCUAACUCCGUGCCAGCAGCCGCGGUAAGAC
rnacentral:rRNA from 1 species